UGCGUAGGCGGUUAUAUUAGUCGGGUGUUAAAUCCUGAGGCUCAACCUCAGGCUCGCAUUCGAAACGGUAUAACUAGAGGAAGUCAGAGGUAAGCAGAACUCUCGGUGUAGGGGUGAAAUCCGUUGAUAUCGAGGGGAAUACCAAAUGCGAAGGCAGCUUACUGGGACUUUCCUGACGCUGAGGCACGAAAGCGUGGGUAGCGAACAGGAUUAGAUACCCUGGUAGUCC
rnacentral:rRNA from 1 species